UACGGAGGAUGCGAGCGUUAUCCGGAUUUAUUGGGUUUAAAGGGUGCGUAGGCGGGCUUUUAAGUCAGCGGUAGAAAUUCGGGGCUCAACCCCGUCCGGCCGUUGAAACUGGGGGUCUUGAGUGGGCGAGAAGAAGGCGGAAUGCGUGGUGUAGCGGUGAAAUGCAUAGAUAUCACGCAGAACCCCGAUUGCGAAGGCAGCCUUCCGGCGCCCUACUGACGCUGAGGCACGAAAGUGCGGGGAUCGAACAGG
rnacentral:rRNA from 1 species